AGGACGAACGCUGGCGGCGUGCCUAACACAUGCAAGUCGAACGGACGAGGCCCUUCGGGGCCGAGUUAGUGGCGAACGGGUGAGUAACGCGUGAACAACCUGCCUCUUUGAGGGGGAUAACACCUGGAAACAAGUGCUAAUACCGCAUAAGACCACAUUACCGCAUGGUAAAGGGGUCAAAGGAGAAAUCCGCAGAGAGAGGGGUUCGCGUCCCAUUAGCUAGUUGGCGGGGCAACGGCCCACCAAGGCGACGAUGGGUAGCCGAGCUGAGAGGCUGAUCGGCCACACUGGAACUGAGACACGGUCCAGACUCCUACGGGAGGCAGCAGUGGGGAAUAUUGCACAAUGGGGGAAACCCUGAUGCAGCGACGCCGCGUGAGUGAAGAAGUAUUUCGGUAUGUAAAGCUCUAUCAGCAGGGAAGAAAAUGACGGUACCUGAGUAAGAAGCCCCGGCUAACUACGUGCCAGCACCCGCGGUAAUACGUAGGGGGCAAGCGUUAUCCGGAUUUACUGGGUGUAAAGGGAGCGUAGACGGCGAGACAAGUCUGACGUGAAAACCCGGGGCUUCUACCCUGGGACUGCUUUGGGAACUGCCUGGCUGGAGGCAGGGAGAGGAAAGGGGAAUUCCUAGUGUAGCGGUGAAAUGCGUAGAUAUUAGGAGGAACACCAGUGGGGAAGGCGGCUUACUGGACUGGUAACUGACGUUGAGGCUUCGAAAAGCGUGGAGAGCAAAACAGGAAUUAGAUACCCUGGUAGUCCACGCCGUAAACGAUGAUCACUAGGGUGUUGGGGGCCUAUAGGCCUUCGGUGCCGUCGCAAACGCAAUAAGUGAUCCACCUGGGGAGUACGUUCGCAAGAAUGAAACUCAAAGGAAUUGACGGGGACCCGCACAAGCGGUGGAGCAUGUGGUUUAAUUCGAAGCAACGCGAAGAACCUUACCUGGCCUUGACAUCCCAUUGAAUAUCCGGUAAAGCGGAUAGGCCUUCGGGACAAUGGAGACAGGUGGUGCAUGGUUGUCGUCAGCUCGUGUCGUGAGAUGUUGGGUUAAGUCCCGCAACGAGCGCAACCCUUAUUCCUAGUAGCCAGCAGUAAGAUGGGGACUCUAGGGAGACUGCCGGGGAUAACCCGGAGGAAGGUGGGGAUGACGUCAAAUCAUCAUGCCCCUUAUGGCCAGGGCUACACACGUGCUACAAUGGCGUAAACAAAGGGAAGCGAGAGGGUGACCUUAAGCAAAUCCCAAAAAUAACGUCCCAGUUCGGAUUGUAGUCUGCAACUCGACUACAUGAAGCUGGAAUCGCUAGUAAUCGCAGAUCAGAAUGCUGCGGUGAAUACGUUCCCGGGUCUUGCACUCACCGCCCGUCA
rnacentral:rRNA from 1 species